rnacentral:tmRNA from 3 species
GGGGAUGACGGGCUUCGACGAAGUUCAUUUCAAAUUAUAUGCAAGUAGUGGUUUAGACAUCCACUUAAAUAGCGUCUAAAAUUAUAAUUGCAAAAAACAAUUAUUCAGGAGCUUUAGCUUUCGCUUAGUUCCCGUUCUCUCAAUGACUCUCGCUAGUUGAAAAGGACGCCAUCAGCGAGAUACUGUUUGCGGGGUCUUGGUGUGUUCUAAGCCGCAAAUGGAAAAUUAAGCUAGAAUGCUGGCUCAGUGCUUUUGUCGGUUUUAAAGCUGAGCAAUAACAAACCGAUUAAACUUGUAGAAUAUAAUCUGAUUAAAUUUCGGAUGGCGGUUCAACUCUGCCCAUCUCCACAU